CAGGAAUUCAAAUAACCCAAGAUGUCGCUUUCCUGUGCCAAAAACUUCUUCCAUCGAUUCUGUAGCGAUGACAUUCAAAUGGAGGGCAUCCCCCAUGGUAGCUUCUUUUCUAGUGACUUCCUACCAUCUCUUGGAGCUAGAAUAAAUCGGGCAACCACACUUCGAAAAUACACAAUUUCCCCCUACAGUUCCCGUUACAGGGCUUGGGAGAUGUGGCUGAUUGUUCUAGUCAUUUACUCUGCUUGGAUCUCUCCGUUUGAGUUUGCAUUUCUAACUUACAAGAAAG
rnacentral:misc_RNA from 1 species